rnacentral:rRNA from 1 species
CCUACGGGAGGCUGCAGUAGGGAAUUUUCGGCAAUGGGGGGAACCCUGACCGAGCAACGCCGCGUGAACGAAGAAGUUAUUCGUAAUGUAAAGUUCUUUUAACAGGGAAGAAAGAGAAAUUUGACGGUACCUGAAGAAUAAGCUCCGGCUAACUACGGGCCAGCAGCCGCGGUAAUACGUAGGGAGCGAGCGUUAUCCGGAAUUAUUGGGCGAAAAGGGUGCGUAGAUGGCAUAGUAAGUCUUUUGUAAAAAUGCUGGGCUAAACCCAGUAGGGACAAAGAUACUGCAAAGCUAGAGUAUGACAGAGGCAAGUGGAACUACAUGUGUAGCGGUAAAAUGCGUAAAUAUAUGUAAGAACACCAGUGGCGAAGGCGGCUUGCUGGGUCGAUACUGACAUUGAGGCACGAAAGCGUGGGGAGCAAACAGGAUUAGAUACCCUAGUAGUC